CCUACGGGGUGCAGCAGUAGGGAAUCUUCCGCAAUGGGCGAAAGCCUGACGGAGCCACGCCGCGUGAGUGAUGAAGGUCUUCGGAUUGUAAAACUCUGUUUUUAGGGAAGUACAUAUGUGUAAGUAACUGUGCACAUCUUUACGGUAUCUAUACAGAAAGCCACGGCUAACUACGUGACAGCAGCCGCGGUAAUACGUAGGUGGCUAGCGUUAUCCGGAAUUAUUGGGCGUAAAGGGCGCGUAGGGGGUAUGUUAAGUCUGAUGUGAAAGCCCGCGGCUCAACCGUAGAAGGGCAGUGGAAACUGGAAAGCUUGAGUGCAGAAGAGGUAAGUGGAAUUCCAGGUGUAGCGGUGAAAGGCGCAGAGAUAAGGAGGAACACCAGUGGCGAAGGCGGCUUACUGGUCUGUAACUGACGCUGAGGUGCGAAAGCGUGGGGAUCAAACAGGAUUAGAUACCCUUGUAGUC
rnacentral:rRNA from 1 species